CCUACGGGAGGCAGCAGUGGGGAAUAUUGGGCAAUGGAGGAAACUCUGACCCAGCAACGCCGCGUGAAUGAUGAAGGUCUUCGGAUUGUAAAGUUCUUUUCUAAGGGAAGAAGAAAGUGACGGUACCUUAGGAAUAAGCCUCGGCUAACUACGUGCCAGCAGCCGCGGUAAUACGUAGGAGGCAAGCGUUAUCCGUAAUGACUGGGCGUAAAGGGGGCGUAGGUGGUUUGACAAGUUGGUAGCGUAACUCCGGGGCUCAACCUCGGCACUACUACCAAAACUGUCGGACUUGAGUGCAGGAGGGGCAAAUGGAAUUCCUAGUGUAGCGGUGGAAUGCGUAGAUAUUAGGAGGAACACCAGUGGCGAAGGCGAUUUGCUGGACUGUAACUGACACUGAGGCACGAAAGCGUGGGGAGCAAACAGGAUUAGAUACCCUUGUAGUC
rnacentral:rRNA from 1 species